rnacentral:lncRNA from 1 species
GAGGGUGCCGGUCAGCGGAGCCGUGCGAUGUAUUUGAAAAGCAAUCAGUCCGACCUUCCCCCAUAGAUUCAUCCUAAAUUGCAGAGGGUCCCAGUUUCAUUCAUUCUCCCUCACAGGGAAGGCAUUCUCUUCCUCUUCCUCCAGCUGCCUGAAAAUCAUAUGCGUGGUUUUUCCUGUUUCCUGCUCUGUAGCUGACAUCAGGGGAGCAACGUGAACACAGGAAAAUGGAAAUCAACAUUUGAAACUUUUAAAUGGAAGCUUUAUUGGGGUUCCACAUAUGGAAAACUGCAAAUAGCAGAAGUAUGUGACUCAAUAAAUUAUUCUGGAGUGACCACAUCCUCUAACUGCCUCCCAGGACAAGACGGAGAAUGUGAACAAUGCUCCUGAAGGCCCCUUUCCCUCAAAGAAUCACUGCAAUUGAAGGAAAAAUGCUCCAUGUCCCCUCUGCCAGUUGGUGUUUAUCAAAGGACAACGGAGGAAGAGAGACAAAGUGCCUGGAUGUGUGUGUUAAUCAAGAGUUGUCAGGACCCUGCCUCUAAAAGAAAGCGCUAAAAUGAUGCUUUUGACAAGACUUUUCUCAAAGUGGAUGCAGUCUAAGGGUUGGAAAACAAGGCCCAAUCAGGCUAGGUCUGACUUGUCGCCUGCUUUUGUAAAUAAAGUUUUAUUGGCUCACAGACACACUUAUUUGUUUCU